ensembl:snRNA U6 U6 spliceosomal RNA
GUGUUCGCUUCUAGCAGCACAUCCUAAAAAUUGUAACAAUGCAGGGAAGAUUAGCAUGGCUCCUUUGCAAGAAUAGCACACAAAUUCAUGAGGCUUUCCAUAUUUUU